ACUGAACGCUGGCGGCAUGCCUUACACAUGCAAGUCGAACGGUAACAGGUCUUUCGGGAUGCUGACGAGUGGCGAACGGGUGAGUAAUACAUCGGAACGUGCCUAGUAGUGGGGGAUAACUACUCGAAAGAGUGGCUAAUACCGCAUGAGAUCUAGGGAUGAAAGCAGGGGACCUUCGGGCCUUGUGCUACUAGAGCGGCCGAUGGCAGAUUAGGUAGUUGGUGGGAUAAAAGCUUACCAAGCCUACGAUCUGUAGCUGGUCUGAGAGGACGAUCAGCCACACUGGGACUGAGACACGGCCCAGACUCCUACGGGAGGCAGCAGUGGGGAAUUUUGGACAAUGGGCGCAAGCCUGAUCCAGCAAUGCCGCGUGCAGGAUGAAGGCCUUCGGGUUGUAAACUGCUUUUGUACGGAACGAAAAGUCUUGGGUUAAUACCCUGGGAUCAUGACGGUACCGUAAGAAUAAGCACCGGCUAACUACGUGCCAGCAGCCGCGGUAAGAC
rnacentral:rRNA from 1 species